rnacentral:rRNA from 1 species
GAUGAACGCUAGCUACAGGCUUAACACAUGCAAGUCGAGGGGAAACGGCAUCGAAAGCUUGCUUUUGAUGGGCGUCGACCGGCGCACGGGUGAGUAACGCGUAUCCAACCUGCCCAUCACUUGGGAAUAACCUUGCGAAAGUAAGACUAAUGCCCAAUGACAUCCCACGAAGGCAUCCGAAUGGGAUUAAAGAUUUAUCGGUGAUGGAUGGGGAUGCGUCUGAUUAGCUUGUUGGCGGGGUGACGGCCCACCAAGGCAACGAUCAGUAGGGGUUCUGAGAGGAAGGUACCCCAGAAUGGAACCGCGGUACAGUCCAAAACCGUACGGGACGGAGCAGUGUGGAAGACUGGGGAAGGGGGGAUAGCCUGAACCAGCCAAGUAUGGUGCAGGAGGACUGCCCUAGUGGUGCUAAACUGCUUGUAAAAGGGAAUAAUGUGGGUCACGUGUGACUUUUUGAAUGUACCUUAUGAAUAAGGACCGGCUAAUUCCGUG